GAGGGUAUAGCUCAAGCAGUAGAGCGCUUGCUUAGCAUGCACGAGGUCCUGGGAUCAAUCCCCAGUACCUUCU
rnacentral:tRNA from 1 species